rnacentral:rRNA from 1 species
CAACUUUCAACAACGGAUCUCUUGGUUCUGGCAUCGAUGAAGAACGCAGCGAAAUGCGAUAAGUAGUGUGAAUUGCAGAAUUCAGUGAAUCAUCGACUCUUUGAACGCACAUUGCGCCCCUUGGUAUUCCAUGGGGCAUGCCUGUUCGAGCGUCAUU